CGCGACCCCAGGUCAGGCGGGGCUACCCGCUGAGUUUAAGCAUAUCAAUAAGCGGAGGAAAAGAAACUAACGAAGGUUCCCCUUAGUACCGCGAGCGACGGAAUUCU
rnacentral:rRNA from 1 species